rnacentral:rRNA from 1 species
GACGUAGGGCGCGAGCGUUGUCCGGAUUUAUUGGGCGUAAAGAGCUCGUAGGCGGCUUGUCGCGUCGACUGUGAAAACCCGCAGCUCAACUGCGGGCCUGCAGUCGAUACGGGCAGGCUAGAGUUCGGUAGGGGAGACUGGAAUUCCUGGUGUAGCGGUGAAAUGCGCAGAUAUCAGGAGGAACACCGGUGGCGAAGGCGGCCCCCUGGCCCGCAACUGACGCUCAUGGUCGAAAGCGUGGGGAGCAAACAGG